UGGGGAAUAUUGCACAAUGGAGGGAACUCUGAUGCAGCGACGCCGCGUGAGUGAUGAAGGAAUUCGUUUCGGAAAACUCUGUUCUAUGGGAAGAAAAGGACGGUACCAUAGGAGAAAGCUCCGGCUAAAUACGUGCCAGCAGCCGCGGUAAUACGUAUGGAGCGAGCGUUGUCCGGAAUUAUUGGGCGUAAAGGGUGCGCAGGCGGCUUUACAAGUUGGAUGUGAAAUAUUGUGGCUCAACCACAAACGUGCAUCCAAAACUGCAAAGCUUGAGUUAAGGAGAGGUAAGUGGAAUUCCUGGUGUAGCGGUGGAAUGCGUAGAUAUCAGGAGGAAUACCGGUGGCGAAGGCGACUUACUGGACUUAAACUGACGCUCAGGCACGAAAGCGUGGGGAGCAAACAGG
rnacentral:rRNA from 1 species